GUGAACAAAGCAAGUGGUGCCUGGCUUUGUGGUCCUCAUACCCUCGCGGGGAGAGGCAGAGUAUAAACAGAGAAACAACAAAGACGUGUGUCAGGUGGUGGUGAGGGCUAUGGAGAAAAACAGAGCCGGAGGAGGGGCAGUGCACGGUGGCGGGGUCGGAGAAGGCCUCUCUGAGGAGGUGACAUUUGAACGGUGAUCUGAAGGAGGUGAGGGCUUGGUCCGUGUGGGGAUCGCUAGAGAAGGGUUUCUGGCAGAGGAAACAGCGGGAGCAAAGGCCCCAAGGUGGGAGCGUGCCUGGCAUGUUGGAAGAACAGAGAACAGCUUCCAGGGGAUGCUGAUGCUGCCUGCCCCGGGACCUCACCUUGAGACCCACAGAUUGUUGCAGCUGGGGAGGUGGAGGCUCAUAGCUGGAAGGUGACUGGUUAUAGAGCCAGAAAUUGAGCCAAAGCCUCUUCGGUGGUUGGAGAACUUCUGGACCCUGAUGGAGAGAGAAGGGAGCCCUCAGAAGUCUGUCCACAGAGGACAGGAGGUGGGCAUGGCUGGAGCUCCUAGGGAUCCUUCGGUUUCUGCCUGUUUCCACGGAAGCCAAUAAAACGGGUAGCAGCCCAGCC